rnacentral:rRNA from 1 species
AUUGAACGCUGGCGGCAGGCCUAACACAUGCAAGUCGAGCGGCAGCACUUCGGGUGGCGAGCGGCGGACGGGUGAGUAACACGUAGGAAUCUACCUAGUAGUGGGGGGAUAGCCCGGGGAAACUCGGAUUAAUACCGCAUACGCUCUACGGAGGAAAGGGGGCUUCGGCUCUCGCUAUUAGAUGAGCCUGCGUCGGAUUAGCUAGUUGGUGAGGUAAAGGCUCACCAAGGCGACGAUCCGUAACUGGUCUGAGAGGAUGAUCAGUCACACUGGAACUGAGACACGGUCCAGACUCCUACGGGAGGCAGCAGUGGGGAAUAUUGGACAAUGGGGGAAACCCUGAUCCAGCCAUGCCGCGUGUGUGAAGAAGGCCUUCGGGUUGUAAAGCACUUUCAGUUGGGAGGAAAAGUUUGUGGUUAAUACCCACGAGCCGUGACGUUACCAACAGAAGAAGCACCGGCUAACUCCGUG